rnacentral:tRNA from 1 species
GGUCCAGUGGUAGAGUUCUUGGCCUUCCGAGCCAGAGACCCGGGUUCAAUUCCUGGCUGGUUCA